rnacentral:rRNA from 1 species
GACGAACGCUGGCGGCGUGCUUUACACAUGCAAGUCGAACGAUGAAGCCGGAGCUUGCUCUGGUGAAUUAGUGGCGAACGGGUGAGUAACACGCGAGUAACCUGCCCUUGACUCUGGGAUAACUGCUAGAAAUGGUAGCUAAUACCGGAUACGACCCUCGGAGGCAUCUCCAGGGGGUGGAAAGAAUUUCGGUCAAGGAUGGACUCGCGGCCUAUCAGCUAGUUGGUGAGGUAAUGGCUCACCAAGGCGACGACGGGUAGCCGGCCUGAGAGGGUGACCGGCCACACUGGGACUGAGACACGGCCCAGACACCUACGGGAGGCAGCAGUGGGGAAUAUUGCACAAUGGGCGCAAGCCUGAUGCAGCAACGCCGCGUGAGGGAUGACGGCCUUCGGGUUGUAAACCUCUUUUAGUAGGGAAGAAGCGAAAGUGACGGUACCUGCAGAAAAAGCACCGGCUAACUACGUGCCAGCCGCCGCCGUAA